rnacentral:rRNA from 1 species
UACGUAGGGGGCAAGCGUUGUCCGGAAUCAUUGGGCGUAAAGAGCGUGUAGGCGGCUCGGUAAGUCCGCUCUGAAAGCCCGGGGCUCAACCCCGGGAGGCGGGCGGAUACUGUCGGGCUUGAGACCGGGAGAGGAGGGUGGAAUACCCAGUGUAGAGGUGAAAUUCGUAGAGAUCCGGAAGAACACCGGUGGCGAAGGCGGCCUGCUGGGCAGUUGCUGACACUGAGGCGCGACAGCGUGGGGAGCAAACAGG